rnacentral:rRNA from 1 species
UGUUAGCGGCGGACGGGUGAGUAACACGUGGAUAACCUACCUAUAAGACUGGGAUAACUUCGGGAAACCGGAGCUAAUACCGGAUAAUAUUUUGAACCGCAUGGUUCAAAAGUGAAAGACGGUCUUGCUGUCACUUAUAGAUUGAUCCGCGUUGCAUUAGCUAGUUGGUAAGGUAACGGCUUACCAAGGCAACGAUGCGUAGCCGACCUGAGAGGGUGAUCGGCCACACUGGAACUGAGACACGGUCCAG